GACGGGGGCUGCAAGCGUUAUCCGGAAUCACUGGGCGUAAAGCGUCUGCAGGUGGUGAUGCAAGUCACUGGUGCAAAACUCUGGCUCAACCGGAGGAAAACCAGUGAAACUGCAUGACUAGAGUGUGGGAGAGGUAGAAGGAAUUCCCUGAGUAGCGGUGAAAUGCGUAGAUACAGGGAAGAACACCGGAGGCGAAAGCGUUCUACCGGAACACAACUGACACUGAGAGGCGAAAGCUAGGGGAGCGAAUGGG
rnacentral:rRNA from 1 species